AUGGCACCUUUCGAGGCCUUGUAUGGUCGGAAGUGUAGAUCCCCCGUAUGUUGGGAAGAAGUUGGUGAACGGAAGUUAGCAGGAUCGGAAUUGGUUCAGAUCACUUCAGAAAAGAUUUCGGUUAUUCGCGAGCGACUGAAGACAGCUUUUAGUAGGCAGAAAAGUUAUGCGGAUCCAAAGCGGAAGCACGUGGAAUUCAGUGUUGGGGAAUAUGUAUUCUUGAAGGUGUCUCCUAUGCGUGGUGUGUUGCGGUUCGGCAAGAAGGGCAAAUUGGCACCUUGUUAUGUGGGACCCUUUGAGAUUAUUGGCAGAAUUGGAGAUGUGGCAUACAAACUAGACUUGCCACCGAACUUCUCGCACGUGCAUCCGAUUUCAGCUUCUUUUCUAGAUGAAGCGUUGCUCUUAUGUUCUGCAUUGGCUGCGGCUCAGGCAGCCCCAGUUGAAGAUAAAGAUAUGCAUUUUCCCUCCUGCCAAUGCUUGAAACUUGUCUGCGAAGGCAAGGAAUUUUGUACUGAAGAAUUCACAUUGAUUUUAGAUGGUGCUUGGUUGGGGUCCACGGACCAAGAACUAAGUCUUGAAGCUAGAACUCCUGUCGGGACUUCACUGAUUGAUGCUCAUGCUGGUGAUGUGGGGAUCAUGGAGAGUGUUCCUCUUCCUGAUGCAGAUUUUGAUGUUAAAGAGCAAGCCAUUCAUUUCUGGGGUUUGGGGACCAUUUUGGUCAGCGAUGACCCUAUAGAGGGUGGGCAAAGUGCUACUGGUGCAUUAUUAGAUUACAUUAUAGAAAACCAUCUUGCUUCUCCUUGCCUCGCAAACCUUGCUGCUUCUCAAAAAGUGAUUCCGAAGUUGUUAAAGGCACACCUGGGGUGCAAGGUGCACGAAGCACAAGCCCUAGCACCUCCAACGCUAAAAGCUGGUGGAAUUUCAACAUUUAGAACCAAGGGUACAGUUUCCAUAUUCACCGAACUAAAGGAGGAUCUAAAUGUUGAUUCAGGUUCAAGAUUGUUUGGGUUCAUAGGUGCUGGUGCUACACUUGGACAGCUUUUUGGAUCAUUGUUUGCCACAGGAAUGGCUUGGUUGGGCCAUGUAUUUCUACUUUUAUUUGCGGCUUUGUUGAUGGAACUUGCAGCACAGGCAUCGAAAGGAAUUAAGAAAGAUAUGUCCGAACUUCCUGAAGAAUUAUCUCCUAUAAGAAAGGCUGAUCCCGAUGAGCAAAGUAAGACUGAUGACAAAACAGAAGCAUCUUUGAAAAUACUUUCUCCAAAGUCACCUACAUCUAGAAUGAAGCCUCAGCUUUCAAGCAUCUUGGAUGGAGUUUGGCUUAUACUAUCUUUAACUUAUUUAUUGUAUGUGGCCUUAUUCCUCUGCCUGAGUGCAGUCGUCUCAUCAUUCUUCUAUUUUCAGAAAGUGACUGUAAUUGCCAUGACUGUUACAAGUUCUGUUGGCAGAAGAAGAUUGUUUGCCCAGAUAAAUAGCUUCAUUGUUGUUUUUAUCCUUGCUGGACAACUUACUCUAACGGGGCGCAUCCUUACUAUUGCUGGGGUUACUACAGCUAUAUGCUCGACUCCAGUUGUUGCCUUUCUAAAUUGUUGUUGCUGUUUGGCCAACAUGGGUAUCUGUUGCCAUCUGUGAGGCAUUAAGGAAGGUGCUAACUUAUAUGGUGACCAGGCCUGGAAGAGAACUUCUGUUUACUGUUGUUUCACAGGAAAAGAAAUAUAAAGCAAAGAUGUGCAUAGAUGUAAUAGUUCAACGGCUUGGAGAUGCUAUAGCAGCUGGAAUGUACAAACUAUUAUUUAGCACUCUUCAUAGAAGGACCUCAACUGUCUCCCUUUAUGCUUUCCCAGUACGUAUAAUUAUAUUGUCUUUAUACUCCUAUUCCAUACUAACCGUCUCUUUUUGAAAUAAAAAAAUUUCCAAUUAUCUGCCA